ACGCGCCCUUUUGUGGAGCGUAAAGUUACAUUUGUGUAGUCAUCGUAACUUUAGAGGUUAUGUGUUUGUUUACAGUGUAACCAAAAUUUAUUUGAUUUGCCGUAUCUACCAUGGAAAACGAAAGUAGCUGCUCCCAAACCCAAGAACUUAUCAAACGAGGCCGAAUCAGAAAGGGCCCCAGUAAGAAAUGGACUGACGACGAUGUGAGUAGUGUCCUGGCUUUUCUAUUACAAACGAUUCAAAAUAAUGCAGUGAUAGAGAAACCGACAGCACAGGCUUACUACACAAAAUUGCUGCAGGAAACAAAAAUAUUAAAUGUUACACCUGACAUAAUUAAAAAUAAAGUGAGAAACUUACGACCACCUAUUGCAAGGCAGUGGAAUGGUUGAAUGGAACAGGCCAAGGCUUAUUAGAUGAUAAUGACGGGAAAACUGUGAGAGAUUACGUAAUCAGAAUUUGUCCUUAUUUUGACUUGUUGGAUGAAAUUUUUGCAACAAAAAGUAGCAUUCACAUACCUCAUACUGAAGAAACCUUGACGGAGGAAGUUUCUUCAGAAGAUAACAUCGUAGACGACAACCAAACAGAUCAAUUGCAUGAGAGUGAAUAUAUUCAUCAAGAAACUCAGGAAGCAUUGCCAGAGGACGAAACGGUCACAUAUGAAGUAAAUAAAGAUAAUGAGUUAGAAGUAAUUGACACAUUUAAAAAGCAAUUGGCAAAACGUCCCAAAAGAAAAUAUGCCAAAAAUGCACUUGAUUCUUUAAAUGAUUUACAGAACUCUCGUAAUGAAGCAACGAAGUUACAAAUGGAAGUGGAAGAAAAACGUUUUAAAUUUGAGCAAACUGUGAAGUUACAAGAAAUUAAUCUACAGAAGGAACGUCUACAAUUAGAAAAAGAGAAACUAGUAUCUGAAGAAAGGCUGCAGAAAUUAAAUUUAGAAAAAGAAGAACGAAUAGCUCGAUAUGAAAUCGAAAUGCGUUAUCAGUUCCAAGCAAAAAUU